rnacentral:sRNA from 1 species
ACCAAAACACAAACCUGUGUCCAGCGCUCCCUUACGCCUAACGGUAUGUCAGAUCGCAGUUUUCCCGCUCGGAGUCGCAACUAACAGGCUUGCAGGUGUCUAAGGUCGAGUGCUGCGACAGUUCGGCCGGCUAUGCACAGGGGAGACAAUACACCUAGUGUACGUGCCUCUGUGCGGCCGACAGGUAUUUCAGAACCACAGCGGGUCGUCUGAACGGUUCCUUGGGGCUUUGCUUCAGGUCGAGCCGGGAGGGCGGCUUUGCGGCGCGUUACAUUCCUAGUUUCCACAGAAUUACUCCAUUGGAGGCUGAAGAUAGGAGACACAACCGUAACAGCGUACAUAC